AAGAAGAAGAAUAAUAGAAAAAAGGGAAAUUAGAAAGGAAAUAGAAAGGAGUUGGAGAAAAUAAGUAAAAAAGUAAGAUUAUGUAUAAAUAUGUGUUAAUUAAGCUUUAAUUUCGAUUUUGAUAAAUGUUAGGGUUAUGAAAUUUGUGUUUUGGGUUUGAUUGAUGAUUUAAUUUGAAUGUUAUAGAGUUAAUUGUUGUGGGUAUUUGAUUAUUUGGAUGAUUUUGAG
rnacentral:lncRNA from 1 species